rnacentral:snoRNA from 1 species
AAGAUCAUACUUCACAGGAUCAUUUCAAUGCCUAUUCUCUAUCCAAGAGAUGGAACACCGUUUCCUCUUGAGCGUGAAGCUGCGUAGUUUUCCAAUUUAUUGGCUAAACUACGCAUUGCUUUUUGCAACUUACGAGUUGUUAAGAGGGCGGAAACGUAUUCUGAGUGGU